CGUUGGCCGCCCAAUACGCGUGCGCCAGCCCACCAGCCCAUUUCCGCCCCGCCCCUACUGAAUUCCCGAAGCCUCGCAGCACCGCCCCUGGAGCGCAUGCGCCUUCCAUUAUCUGCGGUCUCCUAGACUCGCCACCUUCCACCUCCAAUCUGUAGUCCCCUCCCUUUCUAAUCUCUCGUGAACGCGCGUGUAAACCCCCCGGGAACGCGCUUGCCAGAGGCCCCGCCCCCUCCAAAAUUUAUAAAAAGGGGGCGGAGUGGAGCGGGGAAAAGUGGGCCUGGACGAGGCCGGAAAGAGAAGAAGCUUGCAGGAAGGAAAGAAGCUGAACUAGUUGGGACGUGACUGGGCGUGCGUAAGGGUUACCUGUUCUGAGCUUCCAUAACAAUGAGCCUGCCGUGACAGGAGGCCAUUUACUGCUCCCAGCAUGCACCAGGCCCAGGCUGCCGAGUGGCACCCCAGGGGCUCCUGGGAGUUGUAGUUUUUCGGAGCCUCGUCUCCCUUCUGGAAUAACCUAUUGCCCACUUCCCAGCGCUCCUGAACUGGGGAGCCCGGCACCGACCCAGGCAAUUAACUGAGUCGCGGCCCGGACUGAUCUCUAAGGAGGAAAUUGAAGAGCAUCCCAGGGCUGAGCAGUUCUCCAUCUUCUAGAAGAGAAGCACCAGGAGAGAAAGGACCUUACCUGCCUGUUCAUCGUUGUAUUCCCAACCCCUAGAAUCAUAGCUGGCCCAUUAGGAGGAAUGCUGUUUCUUAUUUAUGGAUGAAUGCAAUUCUCAACCAAUUCACCUGCAAAGAAAACAUUGACCUUUCCGUGUCUGAGAGGAGGCAACCAAGCAGGAGCAAAUUCUUCCCUUGUAAGAGAUUCUGUUGAUGGGUCUCCCUGUCGUUUUCCUCUGUGUCCGAGUCUCCACCUUGGUUUCACACCAGGUGUCCCGGUUCUUCAUCUUCGCAGGGAGUGGCGCUCCGUCCCCAAGCACCAAUUCCCACCGAGGGGUCAACGAUAACUCCUUCCAGACUUUCCCGGAAUUAUGCCUCUGAAAUCAGGUCCAGUGUUCCAAAAAUAAUGGCAUUUCUUAGAACCCGUGGUGUCUCAGAAUUGGUGAAAUAUGGACUGAUCUUGAAUCCUCUGAGCCAUCAACUGUUACUGUGAAAUACUGCUUGUUGGAAAGGUUUAAUUUCCUCUUCAGAAGUAGUCCCUUAGUAGCAUUUUUUUCCCUUGAGGAUUGAUUAGGAUGACCAAAAUUAAAUCUCUUUAUAUAUGUAAUAUCCAAAUACAUUCUGCUGUCUAGUUUCACAUCUCAA